rnacentral:rRNA from 1 species
UACGAAGGAGGCUAGCGUUGUUCGGAAUUACUGGGCGUAAAGCGCACUAGGCGGAUAUUUAAGUCAGGGGUGAAAUCCCGGGGCUCAACCCCGGAACUGCCUUUGAUACUGGGUAUCUAGAGUCCAGAAGAGGUGAGUGGAAUUCCGAGUGUAGAGGUGAAAUUCGUAGAUAUUCGGAGGAACACCAGUGGCGAAGGCGGCUCACUGGUCUGGUACUGACGCUGAGGUGCGAAAGCGUGGGGAGCAAACAGGG